AUUGAACGCUGGCGGCAGGCCUAACACAUGCAAGUCGAACGAGUGGCGGACGGGUUAGUAAUGUUUGGGAAACUGGCUUAUGGAGGGGGAUAACUACUGGAAACGGUAGCUAAUACCGCAUACCAUCGGAUGAGCCCAGGUGGGAUUAGGUAGUUGGUGGGGUAAAGGCUCACCAAGGCGACGAUCCCUAGCUGGUCUGAGAGGAUGACCAGCCACACUGUGACUGAGACACGGCCCAGACUCCUACGGGAGGCAGCAGUGGGGAAUAUUGCGCAAGUGGCACAACCCUGACGCAGCAAUGCCGCGUGAAUGAAGAAGGCCUUCGGGUUGUAAAGUUCUUUCAGUAGCGAGGCGUUAACCGCAGAAGAAGCACCGGCUAACUCCGUGCCAGCAGCCGCGGUAAUAC
rnacentral:rRNA from 1 species